GCAUUCUACCAGCACAUGCUCUUAACAUACACCUAUAAUGUAACCUACUCCGAUAAUGUAACAUACUCCUACAAUGUAACCUAUCCCUAUAAUGUAACAUACUCCUAUAAUAUAACCUACUCCUAUAAUGUAACUUACCCCUAUAAUGUAGCCUACUCCUAUAAUGUAACCUACUCCUAUAAUGUAACUUACCCCUACAAUGUAACUUACUCUUAUAAUGUAACAUACUCUUAUAAUAUAACCUCCUCCUAUAAUGUAACCUAUCCCUAUAAUGUAACAUACUCCUAUAAUAUAACCUACUCCUAUAAUGUAACUUACCCCAUAAUGUAACCCACUCCUACAGUGUAACACUCCUAUAAUGUAACAUAUUCCUACAAUGUAACCUACUCCUAUAAUCUAACUUACCCUUAUAAUGUCACAUACUCCUACAACGUAACCUACUCCUAUAAUGUAACCUACUCCUACAAUGUAACACUCCUGUAAUGUAACAUACUCCUAUAAUAUAACUUACCCUUAUAAUGUAACCUACUCCUACAAUGUAAGAUACUCCUAUAAUGUAACCUACCCCUAUAAUGUAACAUACUCCUACAAUAUAACCUAUUCCUAUAAUGUAACUUACCCCUGUAAUGUAACAUACUCCUACAAUGUAACCCACUCCUAUAAUGUAACAUACUCCUAUAAUGUAACUUACCCCUAUAAUGUAACAUACUCCUACAAUGUAACCCACUCCUAUAAUGUAACAUACUCCUAUAAUGUAACUUACCCCUAUAAUGUAACAUACUCCUACAAUGUAACCUACUCUUAUAAUGUAACCUAUCCCUAUAAUGUAACAUACUCCUAUAAUAUAACAUACUCCUACAAUGUAACCUACUCCUAUAAUGUAACCUAUCCCUAUAAUGCAACAUACUCCUAUAAUAUAACCUACUCCUUUAAUGUAACUUACCCCUAUAAUGUAGCCUACUCUUCUAAUGUAACAUACUCCUGUAAUAUAACCUACUCCUAUAAUGUAACAUACUCCUACAAUGUAACAUACUCCUAUAAUAUAACCUACUCCUAUAAUGUAACUUACCCCUACAAUGUAACCUACUCUUCUAAUGUAACAUACUCCUAUAAUAUAACCUACUCCUAUAAUGUAACGUACCCCUACAAUGUAACAUACUCCUACAAUGUAACAUACUCCUACAAUGUAACAUACUCCUAUAAUAUAACCUACUCCUGUAAUGUAACCUACUCCUAUAAAGUAACAUUUGCCUAGAAUGUAACCUACUCCUAUAAUCUAACAUACUCCUAAAAGUAACAUAUGCCUAUAAUGUAACCUACCCCUAUAAUGUAACAUAAUCCUAUAAUGUAACUUACUCCUAUAAUGUAGCAUACUCCUAUAAUGUAACCUACUCCUUUAAUGUAACCUACUCCUUUAAUGUAACAUACCCCAAUAAUGUAACCUACUCCUAUAAUGUAACCUACUCCUAUAAUGUACGUACUUCUAUAAUGUAACCUACUCCUUUACUGUAACCCACUCCUUUAAUGUAACCUACUCCUGUAAUGUAACCUACUCCUGUAAUAUAACCUACUCCUAUAAUGUAACCUACUCCUUUACUGUAACCCACUCCUUUAAUGUAACCUACUCCUAUAAUGUAACACACUCCUGUAAUAUAACCUACUCCUGUAAUGUAACCUACUCCUGUAAUAUAACCUACUCCUAUAAUGUAACCUACUCCUUUACUGUAACCCACUCCUUUAAUGUAACCUACUCCUAUAAUGUACCAUACUCCUGUAAUAUAACCUACUCCUAUAAUGUAACCUACUCCUAUAAUGUAACCUACUCCCUUAUUGUAACCCACUCCUUUAAUGUAACCUACUCCUAUAAUGUAACCUACUCCUAUAAUGUAACCUACUCCUAUGAUGUAACCUACUUCUAUGAUGUAACCAACUCCUAUAAUGUAACGUACUUCUAUAAUGUAACCUACUCCUUUACUGUAACCCACUCCUUUAAUGUAACCUACUCCUAUAAUGUAACCUACUCCUGUAAUGUAACCUACUCCUGUAAUAUAAUCUACUCCUAUAAUGUAACCUACUCCUAUAAUGUAACCUACUCCUAUGAUGUAACCUACUUCUAUAAUGUAACCUACUCCUUUACUGUAACCCACUCCUUUAAUGUAACCUACUCCUGUAAUGUAACCUACUCCUGUAAUAUAAUCUACUCCUAUAAUGUAACCUACUCCUAUAAUGUAACCUACUCCUAUGAUGUAACCUACUUCUAUAAUGUAACCUACUCCUUUACUGUAACCCACUUCUUUAAUGUAACCUACUCCUAUUAUGUAGCCUACUCCUUUAAUAUAACCUACCCAAUAAUAUAUGAGUGGCAGUAUCCACACUGUUAAAACUGUGAGGAUAUAAAGGUUCUAAUCAAUGUCAAAAUAUUUUAAAGAAGCAAAGCAGCUGUAUCUGUCUCAGCAUUCACUAGUUGUGGAUUCACUGCACAUCCUCCGGUGUGGCACCCUCUGCUGGAUGUGGAAUAUAGAAUCCUGAAACAUCCUUCACCCAUCACACAAAAAAACAUCAGUCAGGACUUGAGGUUUUUAAUCUAUCUCAUCUAAUCAUCGAAGCUCUGACUGAAACAUUUACUAAAACAAUUCAUUCAUUUCUCAGUAUCUGAAGGACAGAGAAACAUGGACUUAAAACCAUUUGAGAGCUUAAACAUUUGUCUUGUAUUGUAAUUUCCUUAAUGUUCACACUUCAUAAAAAAGAAGCGGUCCAUGUGUGACCCAGAUAAGCCUUGUGUUUAUAACUGUUUCUGUAGUUUCAGUUUUGACAUGUAAUUGUAGCAGGAAGAGAGGGAAACCAUGUUAAACAGUCAUUUCUUACAAGGUGUUGUGUGAAACAUGACGCAUAAUUCUGUCGUAUGUUUUAAGUAAGUACGUUUGCUCAUUCUCAUAAGUGUCUGAAGCAGGGUUAUUGUUACUGAAAACUAAGACUAGAGCGACAGAAGCAU